GAUGAACGCUGGCGGCGUGCUUAACACAUGCAAGUCGAACGGAAAGGCCAGUGCUUGCACUGGUACUCGAGUGGCGAACGGGUGAGUAACACGUGGGUGAUCUGCCCUGCACUUCGGGAUAAGCCUGGGAAACUGGGUCUAAUACCGGAUAGGACAAUGGUUUGGAUGCCGUUGUGGAAAGUUUUUUCGGUGUGGGAUGAGCUCGCGGCCUAUCAGCUUGUUGGUGGGGUAAUGGCCUACCAAGGCGUCGACGGGUAGCCGGCCUGAGAGGGUGUACGGCCACAUUGGGACUGAGAUACGGCCCAGACUCCUACGGGAGGCAGCAGUGGGGAAUAUUGCACAAUGGGCGCAAGCCUGAUGCAGCGACGCCGCGUGGGGGAUGACGGCCUUCGGGUUGUAAACUCCUGUCGCUAGGGACGAAGCGUAUUUGUGACGGUACCUGGAGAAGAAGCACCGGCUAACUACGUG
rnacentral:rRNA from 1 species